AUUGAACGCUAGCGGCGUGCUUAACACAUGCAAGUCGAACGGCAGCACAGUAUGUAGCAAUGCAUAUGGGUGGCGAGUGGCGGACGGGUGAGUAAUACGUAGGAAUCUACCUUGUAGUGGGGGAUAACCCGGGGAAACUCGGGCUAAUACCGCAUAAUCUCUACGAAGCAAAGAGGGCCUCUGAAUAUGCUCUUGCUAAAAGAUGAGCCUACGUCGGAUUAGCUAGUUGGUGGGGUAAAGGCCUACCAAGGCGACGAUCCGUAGCUGGUCUGGGAGGGUGGUCAGCCACACUGGGACUGCGACACGGACCAGACUCCUACGGGAGGCAGCAGUGGGGAGUAUUGGACAAUGGGCGAAAGCCUGAUCCAGCAACGCCGUGUGUGAAGAAGGCCUUAGGGUUGUAAAGCACUUUCAGUGGGGAAGAAAAGUUCAAGGCUAAUACCCUUGAAUCUUGACGUUACCCACAGAAGAAGCACUGGCUAACUCUGUGCCAGCAGCCGCCGUAA
rnacentral:rRNA from 1 species